GAAAACGAUGCAAGCUUAUGUAAAUAAAACUAUUUGAUUGUAUGUGUAUACUUAUGAGAAAUUAAUAUAAUAAUACGAUGUACCUUUGAUCAUAAUUGACUUUCAUAUAAUAAGGCUAAUCAUCAGCAAUUUUUAUUAACCACACUAUGGCAUUAAGAAGUGUUUAUCAUAAAACAGCUUUCGAAUGAAAUGUAUCCAAAUAUUUCCACACGCAACUUGGAAGCAUAGCCAAUUUGCUUUGGCUUUGUUGUAUUCCGGAACAAAUUUUAACGACAAAAACUGUGGAAGAAGUGGACACAGGCCAUGUGUGUGGGUUCUGGGUUCUUUUUGUGAAACAUAUGUUGCCAUUAGCGCGUGAGGCAUUCCAGAAGGCGAUACGCUACGCAUGCCUCCAUCAAUUAUCCUCUCCGGAGAAAAGACGACCUGCCUAACAAUCGACCAUUGUUGGUGCUGCCUAGUUGCGGCAUCUUGUGCACUUCCACAUCCUCCGCCUCUCCAGAAAUCGACCACAAUUACACCAGGACCAUCAGAACCACAGACCCUGG